CGUCGUGGAAAGAUGCGGGGGGAGAGGUACUGAAACGUCUUUCCAUCGACGAUCUCCACGCGUCCCUCUCACCGACGGCUGUAGGGGCCCCACACCUUCGUCCUCCGACAGUCGCCACGUCGUCUCGAGUACAAUUAACCGGUUCCUCUAAUGUCUCAAUGAGAGAGCGCUCGAGUCCCGUCACCGCCUCAUCACUUCCCAGCCCCCACCCCUUCGUGGCGACAAGAUUGGAAAGAUCUUUUAGGCUGCCGUUGCUUCUGCGACGAUCUCUGCCUUUCUGAUUUUAUUGCAGGAGAAUGAUUGGCGAAGACAAGAGCUUUCUGAUUUUAUUGCAAGAGAAUGAUUCAUUGGCAGACAGAAGAGAGGCUCCAGAUCUGAUAAGGAAGGCUUUGCUGCAGAUUUUGAUUGGGAGGAGAGGGAUGCGGAAGAGAAGAUGUGAUUUUAUGUGAUGAGGAGGCGGAGGAGAAUGGGUGGUUGACAGAAGAGAGCGAGCACACGGCGGGGGGAAAUGGUAUGGUAUGAUGCUGUUUCCGUUGCGUGCUCACUUCUCUUCCUGUCAACCCUUGCUAUCAUCGUCGCAUGCUCUUGCUCUCUCUCUCUCUCCCCCAGCGAGGAAAAGGGGAAAAGACGUUAAAGAUGAUAUCUUUAUCUCGGGAAAUGGCUACGCGUGUGGCGAUCGCUGCGUUCUCGAUUCAUCAAAAUGGUUGUUUAUUAUUAUUCAUUAACAUUGCCCUUGCUGCAGCCGGUCGUCUCCCUUUAAUUUCUUGUCUUUGAUAUGUGCGUCAGUCGUCGCGAGAGGAACACCGCGACGGAUGAUUUCCGACGACGAUGGUGAUGUAAUCGCUUGUACAUACGGCUCUCCGAAUGAUCCUUAUCCUUUCUUUCUUUUGUGAGAGGGUAGGGAAAAUUAUGGGGAGAAGCAGAAACUGAAGCCGUGGAACCCUGAAAAAAACGUGGCUUUUGAGGAGCAGAAGGGGGCGACCGUCCACCUCUCUUCGGGAAUCGGAUCGGGUCGGAUGAAGGUGGGUAGGGUUGCGUACAUGCAUCUCCCGUGCACACUGUGCGGAUCUACGGAAACCACUGUUCGGAUGUUCUUUUUUCCUUUUUCUUUAUGUCAUCCUUUGUGCUACGACUCUCUGGAAGCAUCUUCGUCUCUCUUGUUUCCUUUCUAUUCUCUUUGGCUAGGGGUUGUUCUGGGCGUUUCGAUGGUGGCUGAUUGAGGUACCAGAUCUGGAUUUGUUUCUCCCCAACAUUGUGUGUUCGUAGAACCAAGAUGGAAUUUUGGCGAAGAUCCUGAUUCAAAUGAAUCAGUGGUUCUCUAGCACGUGUCAUUUUAUCGAGGAACUUCUUCAUGCUUCGGAGGUCACAUAUUGAUAAUAGAUGUCUUUUAUAAGGGUUUGGUGAAUUGUGGAUAUGAUGUGAAGGCUAUAAGUGGAUGGUGCCAGUUAAAGUCAAGUGUUACGCAGGUGAACUGUCAAGUUGAGGUCUCGCGAAGAUCACAAAGUGUUGUAUAUUUCUUCAACUUAUGGUGUACUUGGGUUACUCUCUUGAGACUCUUAAAAGAACUUUUGAAUUGGUAGCUGUUGGAACCUUCAUAUCGUCUCUACUGAAGCCUGAUAAUAUUGCACAGCCAUAAUAAAUCAUGUUCUAAAGGAUCGGUAAUCUCAAUCUAGAUGGAUCAGUUUCCUCAGCUCCAAGAGACAAUAUCAUGUAUUGUCAAGGUAUGAGACUUGCUAAUAUGUAUAAAGGCUGACAUAUUCUGAGUCCCAGCCAUAUGUAGGCAUAUCAAACAUGGGUUAACGUUGUGGGUGCUGUUAUCAUUUUGCCAAAGUAUCGGGAAAUAGCGAGGAAGAUGAUUCAGAGUAUCUGUUGUGCCCUUAAAAGUAUGUUUAUCUCACCAGUCUCGGUCACCUGGAAUGUUGGAAGUGCAACCUGCACCCCUUAGCAGAUAAAGUACAAUUUUUCAUACAUCAAAACCAACACACGAGUACUUGAGAUGGGAUAUUCUUUGAUGUAUAGAGAAGAUGGAAAAGGCAAGAGAAGAUAUUCUUAAUUACUUCUUAUGGAGCAGCUUCAGAGGAUUCACAAGUGAACAAACGAAAGCAGGCAUAAAGAAAAAAAGAGGGAUGCAUGGAUCAGGGAGUUUGGUGGUGCUCUUGUAAGCAUGCAUCUCUGCUAUUGUGGAAGAGGAGGACAGUUGGGCUGAGGAAACAGACGAGAGGGGUAAGGAAUACUACAGUUGUGGCUGGUCAUACAAGAACACCAAGUGCAUGUGCUGCCUUUUAUCACUUUGGAUGAUCAUGCUAUUAUUGUACUUUUUGUUUGAGAUUUUUUUUGAGGGUUCCUAGUUUGUCAGUUACAUCAAUAAUCUUGGUUGAACUUCCCAUCUUUUGUGGUCAUGUGAUUGGUAUUGCUAUCUAAAUUUGUUAUUGGUAGUCAAUCAUUUUUUUUUUAUU